CAGUCGCCACGGUAAUACGUAGGGUGCGAGCGUUAAUCGGAAUUACUGGGCGUAAAGCGUGCGCAGGCGGUUUUGUAAGACAGGCGUGAAAUCCCCGGGCUCAACCUGGGAAUGGCGCUUGUGACUGCAAAGCUAGAGUGCGGCAGAGGGGGAUGGAAUUCCGCGUGUAGCAGUGAAAUGCGUAGAUAUGCGGAGGAACACCGAUGGCGAAGGCAAUCCCCUGGGCCUGCACUGACGCUCAUGCACGAAAGCGUGGGGAGCAAACAGGAUUAGAUACCCCGGUAGUCCCUGUCUCUUAUAC
rnacentral:rRNA from 1 species